GUUGAAAUACUACUUCCCGUAUGAGCAGCGAAGUAAAGCAACAUCGAGCCUGGUUAGUACUUUGAUGGGCGGCCGCUUGGGAAUACAA